rnacentral:SRP_RNA from 1 species
CCGUGCUAAGCGGGGAGGUAGCGGUGCCCUGUACUUGCAAUCCGCUCUAGCAAGGCUGAAUCCCGCUUUUGAGGGUUUGGAGUGUGAGGACUGCCUCGUAAGCUUCAAUGUUGAUAUUGCGGUCCUAUGCAAUAGAACGUCAUGAACCAUGUCAGGUCCGGAAGGAAGCAGCAUUAAGUGGCCAAUUCUAUGUGCCGUAGGGUUGCCGUGAUUGAGUUGAACUUACGAGUAACGCUUGUUCAUCAGACACGACAAAGCGGUGCACGG